UACGGGGGGGGCAAGCGUUGUUCGGAAUUACUGGGCGUAAAGGGUUCGUAGGUGGCCAACUAAGUCAGACGUGAAAUCCCUCAGCUUAACUGGGGAACUGCGUCUGAUACUGGUUGGCUUGAGUGCAGGAGAGGAAUGCGGAAUUCCAGGUGUAGCGGUGAAAUGCGUAGAUAUCUGGAGGAACACCGGUGGCGAAGGCGGCGCUCUGGGCCGGUACUGACACUGAGGAGCGAAAGCGUGGGGAUCAAACAGG
rnacentral:rRNA from 1 species